AUGCUAUUAAUCUCUAUAGGCUGCUGCUCCCCUCUGCCCUUGGAGCUGGCCUGGCUAUUCCCAGGGGACACUCCAUGCGUCUUCACCAGUUUGCUCUCACCGCACCUGAGCUGGAACCUCCUUGCCUCACUCCUAACUUUAUUCCCAACACUGCUGGGGCUCCGCGCUCGCCUGGGCGGCCUCCAUCCUGCAUCAUUCCUCCUUUGGGUACCACAACCUGAAGGCUUGGACAUGCUGCCCCCUACUGGUCAGUCAGUCAUAAAACACUAAUGGCUUUUCCAGGCUUAGGGAUGCCUGCUGAGCUGCCCUGCUGCGCUCUUAACCACAAGUUGUGAGCACUUAACAUGCUUUACCUAAUUGAAUCUUCACAGCAACUUUAUGAGGAAGGUUCUGUGAUUACCCCUGUUUUACAGACUGAAGUGGGUGCAGACAGUUUUGAACCCAGGACAGUGAGUAAUAAGAAAGAGAGUGGCUCAUCACCCCAGCUCUUCCUUAGGACUGAGAAUUGCAUCAGGCUUUUCAAACUGUCAUCUCCUUAAAUCUUUUCUCCCACUUUCCACAACCUGGUAUCAAAUGUUCUCCAUGCACCCCACCACCACCAACACCCCUUCCAUAAACACAGCUGCAUGGCCUUCCCGCCUCUCAUCUGGGGACCCCAAACUGCCCACAACAUGUGCAAAACUCUCCACACCGACAUCCUUCCUCGACUUCCCUCCCACGACUCAGCUCAAGCCAGUCUGCCCCAGUCCUCUGUGCCCAUUCCUUCCUGGCUCCAACUAAUGACCCCUCUCUUUUCAGCACCUCCCCACCACCACCACCUUGACCAGAACUUUCCUGAGACAUUUAAAAGCUAAAGUGGAGGUGGAUGUAGAGACUGGAUAUGUGCAUAUGUAAAACAGAUCCACUUUGCUGUAAACCUGACAUUAAUACAACAUUGUAAAUCAACUCUAUCCCCCAUGAAAUUGAUUUUAAAAGAGUUUAAAAAUAAAAUGCUCAAGUCUCUCUCAUCUUAAAAGAAA
rnacentral:lncRNA from 1 species